AGUUGUGAAGUUAUCUUCUCAAAGCCAUAAAGGAGGCCAGUAACAAAUCCAAGAAUAGUAGCAUAGUCUUUUAAAUUGCAGCCUUAUGCCAUCUAAUACUGUAAUCCACAGGAGAGUUUGCCUUCUGAUGUUACAGUGAGCCCCUGUGGAUUCCGCCUGGCCUCUCACUGCCAGUUUAAAGGUGCAGAUCUCCUGUAGGACCCACAUCAUCUCUGCCAUCCCUGCACAGAUAUUCUGGAUACUCCAGGGUAUUCCAGCAGGCAUUAGGACGAACCCCCAAGGCAUGGCUGAGAUGGUUGUUUAAAACAAGAAACAGAUACCCUCUUGGUGUCAUUCAUUCCACUGAUCACUGGGAAUCUGAGCCUGAAUGAAGGUGGAGGAAGACUCCUACAGAGACCUGGGAAUGGUUUGUCCUUUAAGAAGGGUAUAAUGGCAUUUAUAAUGGUUUUACCGAAUACGAGGGCAUGUGAUAAAUGUUUAUGGACUGGGAAUUAAUUGAAAGAUUGUGAAAUGGGAAGGAAUGUGCAUUAUGGAGAGCUAUGACCUAAGCACCCUGAAAUUUGCGACCAAGCCCACCGAGUAUCUUUUGAACCAUCUCAGACCACUGUUAUUUUUGACCUAAUUUACCAGCCCCACUAAGCUCCCCCAGCCAGACUGGGAAAAGAAUCUCCUUUUAUUAAUGUUAGUCCAGGGGACUAAAGUGUAUUCUGGGUAGUGAAAUAUUUAGUUUAUGAAGCUCCAGAAUUCAGAAAGGCAGCAUGAAUUUAUACCUGGGAGGUGGUACAUGUUUUUAAAAAUGCUGUUCAGAAGAUAAUGUGAUUGUAUCUAAACUG